UUUUAAUAUAAAUUUAAAUUUAAAUUUUAAAUUUUAAAAUUUAAAAAAUUUAUAUAUUUAAAUUUUAAAAUUAAUAUUUAUUUUUUUAAAAUUUUAUUAAUUUUAAUUAUUUAAAAUUUUAAAUUUGAUAUUUUUAUAUUUGUAACUUAAAUUUUUAAAUUUGAGAUUUAAAAAUAUAGAUUUUAAUUUGAAAUUUAAAAUUUAAAAUUAUUAAUUUUAAUUAUUUAAAUUUUAAAUUUAAAUUUAAAUGUAAAAAUUGUGGCAAAAUUAUUAUUUUUUAUUUAUAAUAAUCCACUAUCCUUCUUAUCCCACCUACUCCAACCAAACACUAUUUUAUUUAUACCUAGACUAAACUCAAUUCUCAACCAAACGCAAAAUUAUUCUAAUCCCACCUUAACCCUGAACUUAAUACUAUUCUUGGUAUAACUAAUUUUUACUUAACUCCGAACCAAACGAAAUCUUUUAGCGUAUCUAGAAGACAUUCACGGACCAUAACUUUGUACGGUUCAACG
rnacentral:lncRNA from 1 species